UACAGAGGGGGCAAGCGUUAUUCGGAAUUAUUGGGCGUAAAGAGCUCGUAGGCGGUUCGUCGCGUCGGCUGUGAAAUCCCGAGGCUCAACCUCGGGUCUGCAGUCGAUACGGGCGGACUGGAGUUCGGCAGGGGAGACUGGAAUUCCUGGUGUAGCGGUGAAAUGCGCAGAUAUCAGGAGGAACACCGGUGGCGAAGGCGGGUCUCUGGGCCGAUACUGACGCUGAGGAGCGAAAGCGUGGGGAGCGAACAGG
rnacentral:rRNA from 1 species